rnacentral:rRNA from 1 species
CCUACGGGAGGCAGCAGUAGGGAAUAUUGCUCAAUGGGGGAAACCCUGAUGGUGCGACGCCGCGUGGGGGAAUGAAGGUCUUCGGAUUGUAAACCCCUGUCAUGUGGGAGCAAAUUAAAAAGAUCGUACCACACUAGGAAGAGACGGCUAACUCUGUGCCAGCAGCCGCGUUAAUACAGAGGUCUCAAGCGUUGUUCGGAAUCACUGGGCGUAAAGCGUGCGUAGGCUGUUUCGUAAGUCGUGUGUGAAAGGCGCGGGCUCAACCCGCGGACGGCACAUGAGACUGCGAGACUAGAGUAAAGGAGGGGGAACCGGAAUUCUCGGUGUAGCAGUGAAAUGCGUAGAUAUCGAGAGGAACACUCGUGGCGAAGGCGGGUUCCUGGACAUUAACUGACGCUGAGGCACGAAGGCCAGGGGAGCGAAAGGGAUUAGAUACCCGUGUAGUC